CGGUCUCGGGGGUAGUUGAGCAGUGGGACUCCUCCCCUAUGAGACUUACACACGUGAGACUGUGCGCGAGCCUCGAGUUCACCGAGAGAUUGGAUAACCUGAUGAAUUACAUUAUUAUGGUGCAUAAUAGCUUGGUACUUAGCCCUAGCCUUAUUGAUGAACCUAGUAGUAUGGUAGUUAGCCUUUACUAUGAGUUACAUCGAUAUUGAGCAUAGUCGCUUGGUAGUUAGAUUAGUGGAUUUGCCUACAUACAGCGAGUGGACAUACUAUUCCUUCACCUAUGAGAUUUGAGUGGGACAGCUUGUACCUAGUAGAGCGAGAUUGAGUCGGGCAAGGUGCGGGGUAGCUCUUUGCCUAGGACCUUCGAGAUUGAGUCGUGCGAAGAGCGGGGUAGCUCUUUGCCUAGGACCUUCGAGAUUUGAGAUUUUAGGCAAGUUGGCCUAGUCGAUUGGAUAGUAACAUGAAUAACAUAAGUGGAUUGCAUUCAUACCAUGAUUAGACAUAGUAGACUGCAUAACUAUGUUAUAGUUGUAUUCAUUACACUGUUGAAGCAUACUAGCAUGAUAGUACGUUAUUGCUAGAUGAUGUUCCAUGCAUUCUUUGCAUUUGAUGGCAUAGUAGAUAUAGUAGCAGUUUACUUCUAUCUGCCUUUCUAUCUAUCUAUCUGUGCCAGCUUGGACCUAGUGGGAAGAUCGGCAGAGUCGGCGGCCGAACCCACUGGGAACUAUUUAUAUAGUUCUCACCCCGUAUGGUUUUGGGGUACAGGUACACGCGAGAGCGGACCGGCAGAUGAUCGCGGUAAGGGCUUAGCGCCCUAGUACUAGUUGGUAGAUGCUUUCCUACUGCAUUAGAGUUACCCUAUAUGUUGAGAGUAGAUGAUGUAUAGGAUGUGAGAUAUAAUUUGAGAUGAAUGUAAACUAAUGUUUAUAUUUUGGGAGAUUACAAAGUUGUAAUUAAUUGUAUUAUGUUGAACUAAUGUAGUAGUUUAGUAUCUUUCUCUCUCUUUGUUUCACUUGUAUGUUUAUUACUCGUGACGCUUGCUCUUGUAAUGUUCAGCACUGUUUGUGCUCUCGCUAUUGUUGUAUGAUCGCGUAUGUAAUCAAGUGUAUUCCUGGGAACUUGUAUGCAUGAUCUCGUCGUUUCAGCCUUGGGCGGACAGGGGAGGCGCUGUCCGUUCGGCGUCCGUUCGGCGCGCCCGAAUUAGACCAAAUUGGUAGCAGUCUCGGGGCGGGGGCGUGACAGUUGUGGUAUCAGAGCGAGUUAAGAGCAAGCAAAGAGAGAGUCUAGGACUGACCUAGGAUACCCUAGGACGGUGAACCCUAAGGUUAUAGGUGCGUGAGAGGAACGUAAACCUAUACAGUGGCGGAAGUCGAAUCGAUUGGGUCGAGUUAGUAAACCUAUAAGACGGAUGUUAGAGGUGGAUUCAAGAUUCUGUUUAUUCUCACCCGAGAGUGUUCAUGUUGGAUGCAUACAACAUGAAACUGAGUGGUGAGAACAGGAACCCUUGUGUGACUUUCGCCCGAUUGAGUCGCGUUGUUCUGCUAUUGCGGCGAAGCUAACGAGUUAAGGUGAUUAACCGAGUUCUUGUGUUUCAGGAGCUAAUGGCACCAAUGAGACACUACUUGCGUAGAUCCGUUCCGGCACAGCCUGCUGAGGUGCCAGAACAAGCUGGGUCAAGUGAGGUGCAAGAACUGCGGGCGCAGAUGACGGCACUAAUUGGCGUGGUUCAACGCCAAGGGAGUCUGAUCGAGCGGCUCCAGGAGCUUUUAGAGCGGCCGCUAGCGGCUGCGGCCGCGACGGCGACUGAAGGUCGUGGUCUGCCCGCGCCCUCGAUUCGCGCGCUUGAUGCGGCUGAGGGUGAGGGCCUUGCAGCGGUUCCGGUGGCGGUACAUUCCCCACCGGUUGGUGUUCCUCUGGCGGCUUUGGGUUCUGUGAUACUCGAUGUGACGGCUGAGGAGGUGGAAUGCGAGCUCAAGGCAUUCGAAGAGGAUAAGGGAAAGAAACGACCUAGUGGUAGUUCGGGUGGACAAUUUAGUUCCUAGAAGCCCCCGAAGUAUCGGGUGAGGUGGUCCGAUGGCUAUGAACCUAAGCGAUGUGUGAUCUGCGGUGGAGAGCAUCGCGCAGGAAAUUGUGAGCAUAAGGCGGGACGGUGCUUCAGGUGUGGUCAGGCGGGGCAUGUAAGCCGUUACUGCCCAGAGGGAGCGUCGCCUGCACCGUUUUUACAUUCGCCCCAGUGGCUUCGAGGCAGUUGGCUGGAGUUCCGCCGGCUACCGUAUCGGUGGGACGUACGAUGGCGCCGCGUCAGCUCGAGGUGACCCGGUCGGCUCCGAGCGGUCGGGUGGUUGCCGCUCAAGCGGAGGGACUUGCUAGGGUCGAGGAGCGUGACAUCGUGGCAGGUAUGAUUUAGUUGAGGCAAUCAUACGCUUCUGCAUGAUGUUGACUUAAGAAACUGCAUGCAUCUUCUCGUGAUCAUUGGCCAAUAUUUAUACAUCAUUAUAGUAGGGACCAAGUGGACGGGUUGGCGUAGAUACCCGGGCAUGCUUAUGUGGUAGUAGUGUAGCGCCUGCUAGAGCAGGUAGAGAGCCGGGUGGUACUAGCAAAUGGCUAGUAAGGGUUCUUAGACGAGGAUUGGACCCGUGGUGAACACGAAGUAGUGAAGCGACUCUCAAGGCAAUGAGUAUCGAAUUGCGAGAGUUGCGCAGUGACAUUGCGAAUGCCCGAGUGGCUUGAGCAUCUCGGAUGUUGUUUCGGUAGAUCGAACAGUGAAAGUAGAAUCACUGUUGAGAGAGUAGCCGAGUAGUUGCCGAGUGCGGGCACGUAGACCUAGUAGUACCUCGAGUUGAGGUGGGCGAGUCGUGCUUGUGUAGCCGGUGUGCAUAGGCAAGUUGCCUGAUACUGUACUUCGUGUGAGACGCUAUAAAGACGUAUAGAGCGCUCGAGUGUGGGUACUCGUAGAAUGCGGUUUCGAUCCAGCCAGGUGAGUGAGUUGGCAGUAGCAUUGUAGCGUCGCUAAGUGCGAAGCGGGCCAUGAAUCACACGUAGAGCUGGUGGCUCACACUAGAUGCUUAGGAGCCAAUAGUGGUGCGUGUGACUCGAUAGAGUAUGUCACGUGAGACGAUGGUAGUGGGUAUUGCUUGAGGACGAUCCGUGCCUAGACCACUCGUGGACUGUGAAGUCUGGGCCCUUUGAGCAGGCGCAGUCAACUGUGAGUGACAGCGGCCCGAUACCUACAGGUAGGGUAGAGAGUUGGUCAGGACGGUAGUCCGAGCUUGGACUCGAGUACGCGGAAUGCCGCGUGUUGGAUCAUGAGAUCGAGAUACACAGGGUGUGUAGUGACCCAACCCGAGGACUUGACGUGGUUUGGGGUUUUGGUUGCUCCUGUUUGGAGUGUGUGCGAAUUUUCAAGUGAGAAUUUUGUCCGGAAAUGAGGAUUGGGUCUACGAUGCGAGCGAGAGACGCUAUGCAUAGUUACGACAGGUUUAGGCGGUAUGCCGACGUAGUAUUACGACCGUUGGUCCACCUGUGAAAGCCGACGUAAUCGGUUUAGCCGAUAACACUGUCGAGGAGUUGGAGUAAGGAAGUGAACUCUCGAAAUAUGAGAGUUGAACUUCGCUCAAGAUCGACUAAUUGUCGAGUGGGAGUGCUUCGUAAAAGCCGAAGAAGUCAAAUGCACCAGAAGUGCAUUGCAAAGGAGUCCGCGAGAGCAAAUGGUGCAAGAAUCUCCACUUGGCAGAUUUGCUCUCGGUGAUCGGUCCCUGACGGGAGGGACCGGUUCCCGAACGUGGUCUGCGCGAGCUUGCUCUCAUGGACCGGUCCCAGGAGGGAGGGACCGGUUGCCCCGAGGCUUAGGGUUGCACAGCGCGGGGCAACCGGUCCCAAGUAGGGCAAGACCGGUCCCCGAGUAUGAAAUUUGCCCAGGCAGGCUGGGUCAUGUUGAAGAGGUUGGAGAACUUGAGGACAGUGCUCUCUUGAGGAUUGGAAAUCGAGAUACGCCGGGGUAGGCCAUCUCGCCGUAGAGCAAGGUCCAAAUGUGGUUAGAGCACUCGCGAUUGGGUGAUGCACCAAUGAUAUUGCUUUUGAGCAAUGUUGGUGAUCGAAUCGGAAUGCCCUGAGGGGGGAAAGUGAAUGCAAAGAAGAAUUCUUGCAUGCUAGAUGGUGAAUGGUGUUGGAGCGCGUAGAGUCGUUAAGCUUCGACUUGCACUACAACCAAGAAUGACGGAGACCCGUAAUGCACUUUCGGAGUUACGCUUGGCAAAAGAGAGUAAAUCUAGUCUCACAUCCUCCAUUGUGGGCCUUUGGAUGAUUCCAAGGAGUGAAAGGCCACCCCGGAGUAUAAAAGUGCAUUAGAACCCUAUGUUGCUCGAUAAGUCGAGUUGAGGAGUGAGUUGGGUUUGAAGUUAGUUAGUUUCGAGGACGAAACUCCUUUUAAGGAGGGGAAGAUGUAAGGUACCGGACUUCCAAAAUCAUGAAGUUACGGUGUACAUUUGGUUGAAGAGCCAUUAGAAUGGUUUCGAUGAAGUUCGGUAAGGUUCGGGAGCAUUCGGGCGUUUCGGUACGCGUAGGCGCGGAAACAGAACCCGAAAGGCUAUGUUGGUCCGUGGACUAAAUCCGGCGUUAGUGUGAAUGAAAAGAUGAUGAAAACAUGUUUGGAGAGUCUCGGUUCGAUUUGAAAUGAAUCGGAGGUCAAACGAGCGAAAACGAGUGAAAACGGACGAAGCUGAAAUUUGGCUAAGUCUGCGCCGGAGGUCCCUCUGGGACCGGUCCCAGGCAGUGAGGGACCGGUCCCCGAAUGCGAAAAUGGCCCAGUUUGGGCUAUUGCGAGGGAAGCUUUGUUGAGGGGUUUUUAUGUAAUUUUGCACUCAUGUGAGUGUAUAGAAGAGAAAAAUGGGUCUUUUCUCUCUCCCCUCUCAUCCUUGCAACCCUAAACACUCCCUCUUUUUCUCUCUCUAGAGGCUCUCUCUCUCUCUCAUCAAGGAAGGAAAGGAGAAGAGGAAUUGGUGGAGAAGAAGCAAGAAAGAAGAACUUCAUCUUCUUCAUCUUCUUCCCUUGGCCAUUGGAGCUUGGUUGAGGUAAGCUUCAAAACCCUUUAAUGGCAUAUCUCUAUAGCUUGGGUUUUAAGCUCUAAGAAUGGAUUUAGUAGCUUUCCUAGAUGCUAAUUAGAUGGAUUAUGCUUGAAUCCAAAGCUCUAAUGGUGGAAUUUUGCCUAGUAGCAAAGCUAGGGUUCUAAAGGGGGUUUUCGUAAAUAGUUGGGUUUGAUCUUUAUUAACCCUCUGUAAACCUAAUUGCUAGGUCCCCGAACGCAUUCGUGCACUUGGUUUGAGCAUUCGUCGAGUCUACGCGAAGAUAUUGAAGAGACAGACCUUCCGGCAUUCGUUUCUGCCUGGAGGGCCGAGACGGCGUCCAUAAAUCGCGGGGUCGGAUUCCGAGUGUUGUAGCAAGAAACCGAAGACCUUUAAUUACCGGGUCGCGGAUCUUAGGUCGUUCGGUAGUCGCGCGUGGUUUGGGUCGAGCCGAGCGGCGUGCGCCGCGAGAGGCUGAUUGCAAGUGACGACGAGCAAUCGGAACGGCGAUAAAAGGUGGGGGGUGUCCAUCCCGAAGCAACUGAGCUUCUUCCUAUGUCUUAAUGCUUUAUUGAUUUGCAUAUAGUAUAUUGUAUAUUGUUAUGCAUUAUAGGGUGAUGAUACAUGCAUUCCUACUCCUUGUAUAAUGUCUAUGAUUAAUAUAGUAUUAUGAUAUGGAUACUUGAUGUAAUGGACAUAAGGAUUGGGAGAUGACAUUGGUAAACCUAUGAUGCUAAAUGAAAGAGGAACCUAGUAUUGUAUCUAAAGACAUAGUUUACUAGUGGCAUUGGACUAAGUGUGAUAGAAACACAUAUAACUUGAACUUAGUAUUGGAUUGGUUAUUGUACUAGAAACUCUAGUUAACGUUGAUCAAGUUGCAUAUUGGGAUAUUGCAUUAUAGGGUGCUAGAUGGCAAUUGUUACAUGUCAUGGCAUGCUAGUGAUAGUGUAGUGUUAAUUGUUUAAUACUUGUACCUAGUAUGCAUGAGAUUGGGACAUAGUGUUGUGAAACCCUAUAAUGGCAUGAUUAAUGUGGAUUAAACUCUAGUUGAGUGACCACCUAGUGAAUAUGUGCAAGUAGUGUAUCGAGAAUAUUAAACUAUGACGAGUGGCAUCUAGUUAAUAUUAACCCAUGACGAGUGGCAUAUGAGAACCUAGUAUAAUUGACACUUGGCAUUGAACAUAGGGAUUAGUUGAGUUCCCUAGUGUGGUGUAGCACACUGGACCUGUGCAAAUUGCGAGGUUCGAGUGUUUGAUAUGAAUUCCGAACUUUUCCACACUUGGUGGAAGGUCGUCGAUGGUAUUCCGGCCUAAAAGUGUGAUUUCUGGAAUUUUGGCUAAGUCCUGGAGUUUUCACUCUCGGGGACCGGUCCCUGGUAGGAGAGACCGGUUCCAUCGGAACAGUGUCGCGGCCAGCUUUACGCAACCGGUCCCUGGCUUGGAGAGACCGGUUCCCGAACGCGUGUUUUGCGGGAAGGUCCGAGAAACCGGUCCCUGGCGGGGAGAGACCGGUUCCCGAGCGUUGGUUUUGCGAGGCAAGCUGAGAGACCAGUCCCAGGUGUCGGGGAGACCGGUCUCUCAACACGAAAACUGCCUAGACCGUGCAGUGCACAGGUUGCAUUUUUGAGGGACCUAGGUGGAUUUUGUUACAUUUGAAGGCUUAUAGAGCCUUUCCUCUCCCUCUCACCCUCAUUUCUCUCCCUCACACUCACUCUAGAGAGAGAAAGAGAAGGAGAAGAAGAAGAAGAAGAAGAAGAAGGAGAAGAAGACGAAGAAGUUAGAGGAGAGCAAGAUCUUGAGGCUUGGAGCAUCUUCCUCUCCCUUUGCUCACCAUUGGAGGCUUGGAGCUUAGGCUAGGAGCUUGAUAGAGGAUCAAUCUUCAACCCUAGAGCAUUUUGAGCUUGGUUUGGAGCUACCUAGAAGAUUAGUUACUUGUUUCUCCCCUCUAGACCUAUUUUUGGUCGAUUUUGGGAGAUGAAACCCUAGAUUUGGAUUUUAGAGUUUAUUUUGGGGCUUUUUGUUUGGUGGCUUUUGGGGCUAAUCUAAUGAGAUUAGAACUUUGGAUUAGGUUGCUUUGGAUGGGAUUUGGCAUCCAUUUGAGCUUUAUUUGAGGAUUUCUUCACCGGGGUGAGUUUUUCUCCACCUUAGCUUGAGGUAGUUAAUGAUUGAGUUUAGAGUUAAUCGUAAGGUUCGUUUAACCCUUCUUCCUACAUCUUUAGGGUGCUAGAAGGCUAGUUGACAUCUUCGUCGGAGCUUACGAAGGGUUUCGGUAUCUACGGUGGAUUUGACUUCAUGAAAACGGGGCAAAAUGGCCCCUAUGCAUUACAUACUCGUCGUAAAGUCUUUUUGAAUGCAAAUCCAUGCUAGAUAGGAUUUAUGAGAAUUUUAGAACACUUAAAAUGCAUGUACUAUAUGUAAGAUAAAUUCCACUCUAUAUAGUAGAGCAGUCAGGCUUAUUUUCAUGCAUGUGAGAAGUGUUCAAGAUAACAAGUGGGAAUCAUGUCUCGUAUGCUAUAUUAGCUCAUAUUUGUGUAAUUGUAAACACUACACUAUGACUGAGCUUAGUGGAACAAAGUGUCAUAAAGGGGCACUUGACAUAGAAAACUAUGAAAUUGCAACAUAGAGACAUAGUGAUAGGCCAUUGGACAUAUACUAUAUUCCAUAUUUUAGACAUGAUGACAUAGUGAUAGGCCUUUAUGACAUUCGGUAUAUUCCAUGUUUUAGACAUGAGUACUUGAGACUUGAGACAGACUUAUACGCAUGCUUGCUAUUGUGCUCAUUCGCACAUGCUUGUGAGAGUCGCUCUCUACAAGCCGGCACUUCGGAGUUAGCCAUCGCGAUACAUAUUCGCCAUGCGGGAUUGGGCGCCGAAGUGGAUUGCCGUGGGAAAGGCUCAUUCCUAGAGUAGGGAUGUUGACUACCACGGGGCCAUUAGGCACGGCACCGGUCAGACAGCCUAUGGGUGGGUCUUACAGGCUAGACAGCCUUCGGGUGGGUCUUCAUGGAAGACAGCCUUCGGGUGGGUCUUAUAAGAUUAAACUUUUAACAGUUAAAGUAACAAAUGGACAUUGACUAGAAUAGUAAAUAAUGACAUCUUUACUAUUUGCAUCGAGGACAUCGUGUUGGUUGCAUACCCAUGCUUAUACAUGUUAGUCACACUCAUGUACAUACUUGUUGUAGUUGCUUUAUUACUUAUGCAGUUCAUGCUAAGUAGAGAUAUCAUGGUAGAACAGUACUCAUGGUUACAUAUUUGUUCCUUAUUUCGCUUUCGUUUAUACUUAUACUGACCCUCUUUUGUAGCUUUUGGGCCUAGUGGCGCAUUUUACUGAAGUCAGUAAUUGCCCACUGGAAACUAUUAUUUAAUAAUUCUCACGCCCACUGUUUUAUUGUUUUAUUUCAGAGCCUUCGGCACCGGCAGAGGCACGGGAUCACGGCAAGGGAGUCGCGUAGCUAGAUAACGGAGCUUACUGUUGCUCCUAGGUGGUCACUCUCUUUUUUUUUAUUUUUGUAAGAGAGAGAGUUUUGUACCAUGUAUAGGACCACCUGUGUACCUUGUUUAGCAUUUGUAUUUGGGAUUCUUAUUGUAUUACUUUAUGUUUAUUCUAGUGGAUUUUAGUUUAUGGUUCUUUUCCUCUAUUGUAGCAUCUAGAUAUACUUGCAAAGAUACUCCUAGAUGUUCUCUUUUAUUGUCUUAUUUAUCGCUUUGUUUUAGACGCUUUGUAUGUUUUCGACAUAUGGUGGGUCUGGGCACGCGCCGAGCGGGCUUACGCUGGGUCCUGGGGCGUGACAGAUUAGUUUGGUAUCAGAGCCUAGGGUUGAUCUUAGUGGACCUAGCAAAUCUUAGGCCGGUUGAACUAUAGGGAAUAGGCUCGUAAGAGACAAGGUCUAUUUGACUUGUAAGAGAAAGUAUCUUGAUUGGGUAUCUUGAUAACUCUAGAAAGUGGAGUUAAAUUGAAGUGUAUAGCUCCUAACUUCGCGGAGGGUUACGUUGGCGGCCGACAACGUAACAUCGGGAGUUAGUAGUGAAGCACACUUCAUUACUUUCGCAUGAUUUGGGGUAUUAUCUGCUUGAGCGGAGAUACGAUAGCGUGGGUUACUAACUUACGCUUCUGUGAUGAUAUAGUGUGAUCCCGAUUACACGCUCCCAAUCUGCCGCAGUGGAUAACGCGGCAAAUCUGGAGGAGGUCGAGACCUCCGCUACCUCCGGAUCCGGCGAGGUCCGAGAGUUGAGGGGCCAGCUUACGGCCCUCACUGAUAUGGUGGCACAACAGACGGAGGCAGCGUGCCGACAGGAGGCGCGGAUGAAGCGCCUGGAGGACCUUCUUUUACAACAGGCGGCAGCUUCCAGGGAGACUCAGGCCCCUACACCGCUAGCACCAGUUGUGGACGUCGCGCCGAGAGCGCCAUCCCCCGUGCACAGUUCUUGGCGAGCAGCGCCUGCGGCCACGCCUCAGGAGGAGGCCGUCGCGGUACCUCCUGUGCAGAGGCCACCGGUUGGAGCAGCUUUCCCUACCUUGGUCGAGGGAGCGGAGCGAGACCGAUUCAUGGAGCACCUCAAUGAGUUCAGGAGGUGCAGUCCUCGGAUCUUUGACGGAGAGAAGGUCGACCACUGGAUCAUAGAAAAGUGGUUGAUGUAUAUGGAGAAGCUCUUCCGCAACACUUUCGUGGAGGAGAGAGAUCGGGUUUCGCUCGCCACACAUCAUUUGGACGGCGAGGCCUACCGCUGGUGGUUAGAUCUCCAGGAGAACCCCAGCACUGAUUUGGCGGCUAUUACUUGGAAGAGGUUCAAGGAGCUUCUUUUGGCACAUUACUUCCCGACCAGCGUCAAGAGGAAGAUGAAGUAGGACCUACGCAACUUGCGCCAAGGAGACCGUACUGUAGCCGAGUACGAGUGGGAGUUUUCUCAGCUUCUACACUGCGUGCCUUUCGUCGUGCGGGACGAUGAGGACAAGGCCCGCAUCUUCGAGCGAGGAUUGCGACCGUCAAUCUUCCGGUUUGUGCAAUCCUCUAACCUCCAAACCUACCGGGAGGUGGUGGGUCGCGCGCUUAUCGUGGAGAGCGGCGCGGCAGACGUCCAGGAGCGGCGAGAGGCGAUGGACAAAGGUAAGGCCAAGAGGCCUGCGGCAGAGGGUGCGAGCCAGACGCACUCUAGGAAACCGCCGAAGCACCCCAGGAGCCAGCAGCAUGGACGCGGCUCAGCGGCGCAUCGAGGAGGACCUGAUCGUCGCCGGCCCUCCUAGUGUGUGAUCUGCGGUAGCCCUCAUCACCCACCGCAGCGUCCGCAGCGGGCAGGCAGGUGCUACCAGUGUGGCCAGGAGGGCCACAUUCGUACUGAGUGCCCGAGAGGUUCUUCACCGGCACCGUCGAUUGCAUCAGCACCGGCUCUACCAGCCGUCAGCCACGGGACUCCGUCAUCACAGUACCAGCCUAGGCGGCCACCCGUCCAGCUCUAGAGCGAGGGAUCUCGACAGGCCCCGAGUGGGCGUUUGUAUGCCGCUUAGACCGAGGAGGCGGCAAUAGCCGAGAAUAUGGUUGCAGGUAUCAUUUACUUGAUGACAUUAGAGUUCGUGCUUUAUUUGAUACCGGUGCAUCACAUUCAUUUAUAAAUCGGCUGUUUGCCGAGUUGCAUGGCAUUCCUUUGGUUUCCUUGUUGCAUCAGGGACAUGUUGUUGUACCUAACCACACUCUGGAUAUUAGAAAGUAUUGCCCUAGUUGCCCUGUUCGAGUAGGGGAUUGGAUCAUGCCCGUGGAUUUGCUAGCUCUACGCAAGCUAGGGGACUUCGAUGUGGUCUUGGGUAUGGAUUGGUGUCACGCCCGGGAUAUUAGCGGAAGCAUAUCCGGUACGUGCACAGACCCGCCAUACACCUGCAGUAUAUAAGGCGUCUACAAGAAACAAGUCGAUAGGAGUAAAAAGACAUAAAAUAACCCUAUCCAGAUAUCAGAGCAUAGUAAAAGUCACCAGACUAUCAACAAUAGAAUAAGGAGCAACAAUCCAAAAUUUCAACAAUCAAGGAGUAUCUCAACUGAAACAUCUAGUUCGACAGUAACUAUACAUCACGGGGUAUACAAAAAGUUAGGUACAAUAGUAGUCAUUCUAUGCACUGGACAUCACCCUCGGCAGUAGCCCGAGUAGCAAGGUGAUCAACUAGCAUGCCCCUAGCAAUGUCUAGCUAGACGCGACUCCCUUGCCACGAUCCCUAGCCUCUCCUGUAGAUGGCUCUCUAAAAAUAUCCACAAAAAGGGCGUGAGAACUAUAAACAAUAGUUCCCAGUGGGUAAGCCGCCAGCCUCGGCGAAUUACACCACUAGGCUCAUGAUGUACUGAAUGAAAGCGAAAGCAGUAAAUGCAUGGUAAAUAAUUAUGCAAUGCUAACCGGUAAUGAGCAUGUAAGCAACAUGUAAUCACAGUCUCAACAGUAAUGAGUCAACUAAAUAAUAGAAGCAUAGCAACUAUGAUAAGCAUGAAUAUAAGCAUAAAUGUGUAAGAAACUAUUGUACACUGUAACUGGUAAUCAUUCAUUACUGUUCAGUUUCCUUUAGCACUUUCCUUUCAUUCACAGGGAUCUACUCAAGGUAGUCCAGCUUGCGCCGCGCCUAAUGGCCCCGUGGUAGUAUACACUCCCCACGGCAAUCCAUUUCGGCACCCAAUCCCGCACGGGCGAGCAACUGUCGCGUAGGCCAACUCCGAAGUGCCGGCUUGUAGGGAGCUACCCUCACAAGUAUGUGCGAAUGAGCACAAUGGCAAGCAAGCAAAGUCCAUAGUCCAACAUAUUUCAAACAUCAUGGUAUAGUGUGCUAUGUUCUACUCUCGAUCUAUUGAUCGGAAUUCUCAAUAUAAAGAAUGUAAACAAUAACUAGUAUCCACUAGGUUAGUAAGCGUGUGAGAAUAGUGCGAAUUCACAUAGGGCAUUAAAACUAUCCACUAUCAUAGCACUAUCAUUAUAGUCGCAAAUCAUGUCAUAGUUCUCUACUUUAUAGAAGCAUUACAAACUUAGCUCUUGGUUGUUCUACUGAACUAAACCAGAAUACUAUUAUGCAUGAAUACUUUUAUGCAUGUAUGCUCUCUACUUCAUAGAGGUUCUAUUACAAUUACAUCAAAUAUUAUAGUGACCUGCUCCAAAUACUUUACCAAUCACAAUGAUCCCGAAUACACACACUAAACCAAUUCUAUAGUCACAUAUAGAACAUAGGGGAGCUUCACUUGCUCUGGUUAGGUCAAACCCACCUAUUACGAUGCUCAAAUCAGUCCCCCAAGAGUCCCGAAAUUCAACACAAUCAAGCCUCAGCUCCGCUGAAAAUAAUGCAUCAAAACUGUAUCAAACAUAUAUUCGGAAUGUCCAAUUUCGGUACUCGCGUAUUUAAUACGAAGUAGUAACAUAAAUCCCUAUUUUGGGUCAGCUUAAUACCUUAAUUUAAGCCUCCAAAAUCCCUCACGUAUCAGCCGGAGAUAAUCCGAAGGUCCGUCGCAAGCCUGCUGCGAACAAUUUCCAAAACGGUAUCAAAACGCUUAAAUAUAAGCUAUUAUAAUCGAAUUCCUUGGUGAAUCAGUUUUAGAACUGAAUUUCCUACUUACUUCAGGUUAAACAUCUUCUAAACCAGCCCCCAAGGUCAUCAAAUAAGCUUGAUUAAAUUCAGAAACCUGCUGCGAAGAAGGAAUCUCAAACUGCGUCGAGUUACCCGAUUAAAUCGCAUAUAACUUCGAGAUAGCUUCAUUAGUUGACUAAUUACCUGUAUCAAGCCUCAAGGCAACCUUUUUCCUGGAGUGAAGUAAGUAAAUCACAGCUAGAUAUCUUCUUUCUAUAUGCAGGAACCCCUAACAAACUCUGUUGGAAGCAACGGAACAAGAACACGUCAAAGUCCGACGAUAAACCACCAACCAUAGAAAAAUUUAAGCUGACUACCUCUCUCAAGCUUUCUUCAACAACUCCCAGUAAUAGAGAUGAAAAAACACUGUCAAAACACAUCACUUUACCUUUUAAAAGCUGGCUCCAAGUCCAUCCAACCAGCGAGCGACGAGAGCGGCGCGAAAUCGGCGCAAACGGCGACGUUACUCGUAGAGAGAGAAAACUCUAGAGAGAGAGAGUGGAGAAGAUGAAACCCUGAGCUCCAGCAACCAUAUCUCAGCUCCUGGGGAAUCAACGAUCAAAUCUUCUAACGACAAGAUUGGAUUUUUGGAGCAUCAAUUUCAUGAAUCACACAAAUCCAAUCAAGUCUUGACCGAUCAAGUUCGUCAACUCCAAUCCGAUCUUCAACAAUUUUCUUCGAGAUCAAAGAAAUUGGACAAAAUGCUUGGAUUGGGUCAAACGAGCAAAUUGGGCCUUGGAUAUGAACGGACAUAUGUUGAGAAGGAUCAAACGGCAACAUCUAAAGUCUCAACAACUUUAAAAGGCAAAGUGUGUCAUCGAUGUGGAGUUAAAGGUCACAUCAAAAGGAAUUGCCCGGUGAAAGAUAAGAAGAAUAAUUCGGCAACUUCUAAAGCUCAAUCGACAUCAUCUACAACUCGACUUCCCCCGCGAAAUCUAAAGCAAAAUCCAGUGAGUCGAGUAUCUCAAAAGAACCGGUUUUCUAGCGCACAACGUCAACGUCAAGUUUAUGCAAAUCAGAUGUCUAAACCUAAAGGAAAAAUUCAACCAAAGCCUCAACCGAAGAAACCACCAACGGUUGAUCAAAAGUCUAAACAAACGGCACCUAACGUCGACAAGCCGAGAAAACCAACGAUCCGACAAGUUUGGAUCCGGAAAGGUGAUAUCUUUCCUUGCUCCUCGUCUUAGUCAUUUUGAUCUUUAGUGUAAUGCUUUGAUAGGUGCUUGUUGAUUUAAUUUUAUUCAUUGCAUUACAUGUUUACAUGAUUUUUUGGUGUUUGAAUUUUAUUGGUUUAAAUCUUUUUGAGGAAAGGUGUUUAGGAAUUUAAAAUUUGUGAAAGGAGAUGAUUGAGAUUUUUUUUGGAAGAGAAAGUUUUUUUAAAAAAAUGGUAUUAAAUGGGUUUUAUUCUCACAAUAUAUUAAGUUAAAUUCAUAUAAUUAUCGUCUUUACUCCAUUAAUUUAUUAUUUUGAUCCGUUAUUAUCAUAUGAUUCUUAUAUCAUAAAUUUCAUCAAAGUUUUGAAAUAAAAAUCAAUUUGAUUUUUGAUGAUUAUUCAUUCUUGGUUGUGUAGUUGUUGGAUAUUGAUGACAAUGGGUAUGCUCUAAUUGACUAAAAAUUUCGUCAAAUUAUUUUCGUAUUGUGAGGAUUGCGCUAAUUAAAGGGGGAGUUUUUAAAUUGAUUAAAAAGGAGGAGAAAGAAACCCUAUUGUUUAAAAGAUUGAAAGAAGUUAGCAUCCAAAAGGAGGUGAAAAACUACCAGCCAACUGUAGAAAGAGCUACCACCCCGGUCGUCAGCACUAUGUCGUGAAGCUAGCACCAUGAAGAUUAAAUUUGGAUUAGCGAAAAAAAAAAAAGUUGAAAAAAAAUGAAUAUUCUAAGCAAGUUUGUCGAGUAAUAGGGUCGUUAGUUUGAAAAAGAUGCUCAAAAGAGCCAGCCCGGUAUAUAUUGUUAAAUUGAUAAUUGAACAUCUAGCAACGAAAAUUGCCUGUCAAUUUUAUUGAAUUUCUAUAAAUUAUUUUUUCAUCAACUUACAUCUUGAUGUUUGAAUUAUUAAACAUUUUUAUAAUCGACUUUUGAUGUUUUUGAUAAAAUGAUUUUUGAAUUUUAAAUAUAUUGAUUUUCAUUAUAAUGAUUUUGGAGUAAAAUUUUAAUAUAAUAGAAAUUAAUUUAAAUUGAUGGAUUUUUAAAUCAUAUUUCGAAUCUGGCAAGUGUACCGGUAACAAAAUCCUGUGUCACCGUACAAAUCACUGUAGCCGCGGAAAUAUUAACGCGGUUCGGAUUAUUUCUCACUUAAUCUAAACCAAAUUUCGCAUCAUUUCUCUCUCUAAAAUUCAUGGUGCCAUCCCUCUUCCAUCUCACGUUUUUCCCCAAAAAUUAGGAUUUCUUUUGAAUUAAUGUUUAAUCGCUUCAAUGUUUAUUUUUGAAACAUUUCCGUGUUAUGGCAUAGAUCUAUGUUUUUGAUCGUUUUUUAUGCAAUUUUCUGCUGUAGAUCAGUGCUUAAGGACAUUAUCUUGCUUCUAGAACACUUGAAUCACAUCAAAUUACGUUAUUUUUCGCUGAUUCAUGUUCUAAGCUUCAUUUUUCAUAUAAUUUCAGGAUUUCUUUUUAAAAUGUCAUUUUUUUUGAUAAAAUUGUUAUAUGAUCUUGUUAGAAAUAGCAUUUGUAUGCAUUCUAAUGUUAUUAGAAAUUUUUCUGCUAUUUUUACAGAUUUUUCAAAAUUUUCUUCAUGAAUGGCUCAUUUUCAUGUAGGAAAAUGGCAUUUUCGCUCGUGAUCCUUCUUCUGGGACUUAUGGCUGCCGGUCGUGGUCGUGGUGGUGGUCGAGGACGACGUGGUCAGUCAAAGAGAACUCGUACUGCCGACGAGUCAUCUGGAUCAGAUCCUGACUAUCAGGCCAGCUCGCCUGAUGUCACGCCCUGGGACCAAGCGGAAGCCCGCCCGGCGCGUGCCCAGACCCGCCAUAUGUCUACAACAUAUAAGGCGUCUAAAAACAACAAUAAUAAAAGCAAUGAUACAAGACAACUAGUAGUAUCAAAGCAUAAUAAAAGUCUAAAUACUACAACAAGGGAUAAAGUUAAAACUGUAAAUCCACUAAAUAAAACAUAAAGUAAGUACAAUAGGGAUCCCAUAACAAAAGCUAAAAGGAGUACACGGUGGUCUCUCUAUACAGGGUACAAAACCUCUCCUUCUCUCCCAAAAUAUAAAAUGGAGAAGAAGCAACCACCUAGCGCAAAAGAAACUCUCCCGAGCUACGCUACGCGACACCCUUCCGCGAUCCCGUGCCUCCAGCCGUGCCAAGGCCUUGAAAGAAAACAUAGCAACGGGGGCGUGAGAACUAUUUAAUUAAUAAUCCCCAGUGCAAUUUACAUGACAUCAGGAAAUGCACCAAUAUAGGCCCAAAUACUGCAAAAAAGGCAAGUGUUACAAGUACGGUAAAAAGAGAGAAUGUACAAAAAUAAAGAAACGAAAGCUCACAAUCAUGAUAUCUCUAUUUAGCUCUACUUGCAUGAAAAUAAGAAACGAUUACUACAAGGAAGCGCAUGAAUACUCACAUUAAAGAACAUGAAUAUUCCUACCAAACUGCCAGUCUAACAGUGUAGUAGUAAACGUGUCAAAUGCUUUUACUAUCUAGUCCAGGUUCAACAUGUCACAUAAUAUGUAAUAUGGCUGAUAGUUUUACUCUGAUAAGGAGACCCCACCCGAAUCUUCUCUAUAUAGCCACCUCGUAGCCUGUCCUGGCUCCUGCCUGCCUAGUGUCCCGUGUAGUCAACAUCCUACUCCAGGAUGAGCCUUUCCCACGCAAUCCCAUCGGCCCCAAUCCCGCACGGCGAACGUAUCGCAUAAGGCCAACUUCCGGAGUGCCGGCUUGUGGAGCGACGCAUCACAACUUGUCGCGAAAUGAAGCACAAUGGCAAGCAUCCUAUCAAGUACAUGUCUCAUGUUACUCAAGUCAUCAUGUCUACAAUACUGAAUAAUCACAAACUCUCACAUAGGCCACUCUAUGUCAUCAUGUCUACAACAUGGAAAAAUAAUAGAUUGUUCCAAGUGCCUAAUUCUAUGUCUCAACACGUAUAGCUCAUAAGGCUAGCUCUAAUGCCCUUUUAUGACCUUUCAUUCACUAAGUCAAGCUCAUCCAAAGUUCAUAAUACAUAAACGGAACCAUUUAAGCAUAUAAAGUUUCCCAAAUACUAGCGAGGCUCUAACCGAAUGCAUGCAUAAAUACCCAGAAGCUCCACGUAUAUGAGUGAAAAUUUUUUAUACAUAACACAUGAUUUUCAUGGGUCUCCAAAUCACAUAAAUAAUACUUAGCAUAGAGCAUUCAAAAUAGUAACAAAGAGUUAGAAUGCUUAGGGCCGUUUCGGGCCCGCGUUUUCAUGAANNNNNNNNNNNNNNNNNNNNNNNNNNNNNNNNNNNNNNNNNNNNNNNNNNNNNNNNNNNNNNNNNNNNNNNNNNNNNNNNNNNNNNNNNNNNNNNNNNNNGCUGUGUUUCCAAUGAACUAGCGAGAGCGUCUUCCGAAUGCAUGCAACAAUACCAGAAUGCUCCUACUAUAUAGAGUGAAAAUUUUCUUAUAACAUAAACACAUGUAUUUCAGGGGUUCCAAAAUUCAAUAAAUAUAACUUAGCCAUUAGCAUAUGCAUUCAAAAAUAGUAUACAAAGAGUUUAGAAUGCUUUAGGGGCCGGUUUUCGCCCGUUUCAUGAAGCCAAAACCCACCGAUGACAACGAAACUCCUCGUUUUGCUCCAACGAGGUUGCUCCCCUAGUCUCCUAGUACCCGUAGAUACAAAUAAAAAAAAACCCCGUAUAGAAACAUGAGUCAAACGAGCCAAAUGAGCAAUACCCAGCUCAAACAUUAAACCCCAUCUCUUAUUAAGGGCAAAAACUCACCUCUUAGGGCGAAACUUCACAAGCUCAAUAAAGGAGCUAGAACCCUUCCAAUUCAAUCUAGAGGUAGGUUCUAAUCCAAGGAAUCAAGCCUCAAAAGCCCUAAAACGAAAAUGCCCAAUUUUAAACCUAAAUUUCGAAUUCUAGGGUAUUAAUCUUUCAUCAAAACCUCAAUCCAAGGAAUCAACGGGAGAAAUCAAGUCUCUAACUCUCAAGAAGCUCCAAAAACUUUUAGCUCAAUCCAAGAUGGGGUGGCGUAGAUCUCCUCAGCCACAAGCUCCUCUCCAGCUCUAGCCAUCAACAACCUGGUGGAGAAGCCAUCCAAGAUGCCAAGAUAGAGGAGAGAAAACCAAUAAAAACCAAGCAAAAGGAUGAGUUUAAAUAAAAAAAAUUGGCCCAAAGAAAGGAGAUGAGAGCUCCUCUCACUUCUCCUCCUCAGGAUCCAGCCACAAAGAAAGCCCUAAGGGGCGGUGGGCCAAUUGGGUGCUGUUAUAGAUUAAGCUACAAUCAGCGAAAAACCCCCUGCAGUUCAAACUGCACGAAUCUGGCCUCCUUGUACCAGGUACAUGGGCUCUGUACCGGUCGAAGACCGACGGAUAAUUUGCAAACCGUAUGGCUCGGUCGCGCGUUUCUGCGCUCUUAUACCGGUACAAGCCCGAUGGCUGUACCGGUCAACCAUCAACCCUUGAUACCGCGUACAAGGCAGUGUGUGCUUCCGCGUACAAGCCUCUGCUGCAGGCUGCCCGAAAGCUGUCCAAAAAUUUCGAUUUUGGAAUUUUUGGUGCCAAGCCCCACUCCAACAUCCUCGGGAUGCGUGCCAGGGGUCGGAACACUAUCAACGACCCUCCAAAAACUGUGGGAAUGCUCCAAACACAGAUCAAACACUCAAAUCUUGCGAUUUGCUAAGAUCCCGUGUAUUACACCUGAAGCUGCUGAAGAAGCUACUACUCGAGCGGCUAAAGGAAAAGGCCUAGCAGGCGAAUCCUCACGAGGAGGUGAUUCUCGUGCACGUGAAAGGCGCUCUAAACGUGCUUCAGAGGCUUCAUUAGAGCGACAGCAAAUUUAUUCGAGCCGAUCAGUUCUAGCUGAGCGCUAUGUCAACUUCACUGAGCUAGUCAAGGAGGUACCAGAGUUUGGCAGAUUGCUGCAGAGGGUCCCUAUUGAGCCUGUUGGACGGGUUCCAGCUCGUGCCCCAUUUUGUGUAGAGCUAAUUAGAGAGUUCUAUAUGAACGGAGUAGUACUUGAAGAGGAUAAGGAGACUGGGACUUACGUGUUUGAGACUUAUGUACGUAAAAAGAAGAUUCACGUCACCCCUUAUACUAUUGGAGAGCUCUUAGGUAUGCUUGUUGAUACUAGCGGCCUUCACUAUACGACAGGGCAUUUUCAGUCUGCAACUCACUGGGAGAUUGUUAUUCAUGCUAUAUGCAAGGAAGGUGUUAGGACUAAUCAUUCAUAUGUGGAAUCUAAGGAUUUGCUACCUGAAUAUCAUCUACUGUCAUUGGUGAUGAGCUACAACGUUCAACCUACAAUUGGAACGAAAAGAAUUCGGUGGGAUCGUCUUGUGCUUCUGUAUCUUCUUGGACAUCCUGAAGAAGCAAGAGGAUUGAACAUCAAUAUUCAUUUUCUUAUGUGGCAACGAAUGGUUCAUGUCAUACAGUCUCAGGUUCGCCGUGAUCUUCUUCCGUUUCCGUUAUUGAUCACGAGGAUUCUUCAGGAAAAUGGUGUUGACGUGUCAUGUGAGAAGUAUGAUUUUGGACUUGGACCUAUUGAUGCUGUAACUUGGGCAAAGUCAAGGAGCACCUUGAAGACGUUUCAGCAAACCAAAGGGUCCUCCAGAGGAGCUACUAGUUCAGCACCUCCACCUAGAGCAGCACGCGAGGGAUCUUCUAGUUCAGGGGGAGUGAUUACUGUCGAAUCACUUCAUCAUGAGGUGCGCUCUAUGAAGAAGAAACUGGCCGAUCUUGCAAGAAAGAUGGAGAUGGGGAUGAAGAGAAUGAUGGAGAAAAUGGGAUGUAAGCAUGAUGAUAUCUUUCCUACUAAGCCUACCUACACUACUUAUACCAGAUCGACUUCACGACAUCCACUCAUUCCACCGUCUGGUGAUGCUCCUGAGGCUGGGGGAUUUGGAGCUGGAGCAGGAGAUGAUGAUGAUGAUGAUGACGAGGACACGGAGUGAUGUCUUCCUCGGGCUUCAUCUUGCUUCCUUUCUAGGACGAUGUUUUAGACUUGCUUAUCUUUCUUUGGCAUGUUUUUAUUUUAGGCCUGUACCUAUGACUAGACUUCUUUUGUGCUUUCUAGUAUGUUUUUCUCUUUCUAUUUGCUUUCUUUUGGCAAUUUUUGACAAAAAAGGGGAGAGCGUAGAACAGGAGGAGAGCAUGGUUGACAACAGGCAAAUGAACUAAGCAGAGGAGGAUGAGUAGAUGUGAUCGAGAUAUGAAGAACAAAGGGGGAGAAGGUAUAAGAAUUUAAGGGUAAUCAUUUUUGAAUGAAUUAUUUUGCAGGAAAUCAAGACUUCAAGACUCCUAGUUGUGUCUAAGUCACGGAGUCUGUUUUAGGAGUUUUUGAUAUAAGUUUGAGUUUCAAAUUAUAUUUGGAUUACACGCGAGGAGUUCAAUGUUUUGGUGAUGACAAUUGAACUUCAUUUUUCUGUAAAUUGUAAUUUUUGAGUUUGUGAGAGUUUUGUCACGAAAUUGACAAAGGGAGAGAUUGUUAAGUUGUGUGUGUUGGCAAGUUUCGUGAAGUGAGUCGGAGUCUUGAAGAAUCGGUGCGUGUUGUCGAAGAUCGAAGAAUUCAAGAUUUCGAAGAAGUUGGAAAAUAACUCACACCGUGAAUCACGAUGUCCAGGUAAAGUGUUAAUUCAUGAUCAUGGUGAUUCAUACUUAGUUGUAGACAUUAGAAUCAUAAUAUCAUUGUCUAACGGAUUAGAAAGUACAUUGGAACUUUGCAAAACCCGAAACGGCGAAAUUUUGCAAAGUGUACCGGUACAGCAUCAGAAGUGUACCGGUACAAAAUGUGUACCGGUACGACCAUCAAGGGUGUAACCGGUUUCACUGUUUCGUCUGGUUUUUCGUUCCGUCAUUGUGUAACCGGUGACAGCCUAAAGUGUACCGGUACACAAUGUAAAAUCGUGAAAUCUUUCUAAUCCGACUCCAAUUGAUUCUAAAGUCUAUAAAUAAGCUAUUGGGCUUCUCUAACACAUCAAGCAUCAUAAGAAUACAUGUUUGAGAAACCCUAGAGGCUCGGAUUUCAUCUUAAACCUAUUUUCUACAAAAAGCCUCUUUUAGAUCAAAUCGAGAUAUUGAAAUUUGAUAUUAAUAUGUCGAUUUGAUCUCCGCUUCGCUUGGAGUUCUAUUCCCUGGUUUUCUACGAUACUCCUAAGCGAAGGAUCACCAUAAUCAUGAUGCUCUUCAUGAACGGCGUCGUGGAUUCGGCGUGAACAAAGGCGGUUCGUGGAUUCGGAUCGUUGGCUCGUGGAUUCGAGUGGCGUCGUGGAUUCGGCGUGAUUGAAGCUUCGUGGAUUCGAAGUGGAGGCGUUCGUGGAUUCGGACGUGAGGGCGUGGACAACCCGGAGGGUAGCGCGAAGAUUCAUAGGAGGUUAAGAGAGGUUAAGUCCGUGGAGUCGGUAAUCACCUUGUAAUCUUUUCUCUUAGUGAAUUAUUUUUUUCGCGUGUUGGUCCCGUGGGUUUUUUCUCCAAGUUGGAGUUUUUCCACGUAAAUCUCGGUGUGCUUUUUAUUUUUCGCAUUUAUUUUUAUUGCAUCGAGAUUUGUGGUUUUUGGCAGGUACACCUAUUCACCCCCCUCUAGGUGAUAGAUACAAUCUAGAUAGAUCCUUGGGCUCCCCAAAACUUUCAUGUGUGUGUAUUCCAAGAUAGACUUACAGUCGGAAUACCACCAGUUAAAUAUCAAACCCGAGGAUAUAUCGAAGACGGCUUUUAGAACACGGUAUGGACACUAUGAGUUCACAGUUAUGCCGUUUCGGCUUACUAAUGCCCCGGCAGCUUUUAUGGAUUUGAUGAACCGUAUUUUUAAGCCUUAUCUAGACAGGUUCGCCGUGAUGUUCAUCAACGACAUCUUGGUCUAUUCCCGAAGUGAUGCGGAUCACGAGGAGCAUUUGAGGCGAGUACUUCAAACACUUCGAGAAAAGGAGCUUUAUGCCAAACUGAAAAAGUAUGAAUUUUGGCUUCGAGAGGUAGCCUUCUUUGGACAUUUGAUAUCGGGAUCGCGUAUAGCCGUGGAUCCUAAGAAGAUUGAGGCAAUCAAGGAUUGGCCUAGACCGACGAGUGUCACGAAAAUACGGAGCUUCCUUGGACUGGCCGGUUAUUACCGGAGAUUUGUCGAGGGGUUCGCUAAGCUAUCUACUCCCCUCACGAGGCUCACGCAUAAAUGUGUCAAAUUCAAAUAGAAUGAUGUGUGUGAGAGAAACUUUCAAGAGUUGAAGCAACGACUGACGACCACCCCGAUCCUAACCCUACCUGUUGCUGGAGCAGGGUAUGUGGUGUACAGUGAUGCAUCUCUUAAUAGAAUGGGCUGCGUUUUGAUGUAGGAUGGUAAGGUGAUCGCGUAUGCUUCUCGCCAACUGAAGAAAUAUGAAAAGAAUUACCCUACGCACGAUUUAGAGUUGGCGACCGUAGUCUUCGCAUUGAAGUUAUGGCGCCACUACUUAUAUGGCGAGCGGUGCGAAGUAUACACGGAUCACAAGAGCCUCAAAUACCUGUUCACUCAGAGGGAGUUGAACUUGAGACAGCGCAGAUGGUUGGAGCUGCUCAAGGAUUAUGAUUUGACGAUUCUUUACCAUCCGGGCAAGACUAACGUGGUGGUGGAUGCGCUAAGUAGGAAAUAAACAGAAAACUUAGCGAUGCAUGUGGUUACUCAACCACAGUUAAUCGAGCAGAUGAUGUGGUUGGAGUUGGAGGUAGUGACUCCUGACACACCUUUGAGAUUGAUGACCUUGGUAGUGCAACCUAUACUCUUGGAUAGAAUUAAAAAGAAGCAAUCUUCCGAUAUAGAGUUGGAAAAGGUUCAAGAUAAAAUGGUUGAUGGUUGCGUCGGCGACUUCCUUGUGAAUGACCAAGGAUUGAUGCAUUUUCGUGGGCAGAUUUGUAUACCGGCGGAUUCGAAAAUUAAAGAGGAUAUUCUUCAAGAAGCGCACCGAGCACCCUAUACUAUAAUCCGGGAGGCACCAAGAUGUACAAGGACUUGAAGUUGCUUUAUUGGUGGCCUGGGAUGAAAAAGGACGUUGGCGAGUUUGUAGCUCGUUGUCUAACUUGCCAACAAGUAAAGGCUGAGCACUGAUUACCCGCGGGAAAACUUCAGAGUUUACCUAUUCCCGUGUGAAAGUGGGAUAAGAUCACCAUGGACUUCGUGACUGGAUUGCCCCGCUCUCAGGCCGGGCAUGACGCUAUUUGGGUGAUCGUGGAUAGGUUGACGAAGUCGGCGUACUUCAUAUCUAUUCAUACUACUUGGACCGGAGAGAAGCUCGCACAAGUGUAUCUUGAUGAGAUUAUGCGACUUCACGGAGUGCCUACUUCGAUUGUAUCAGAUCGAGACACUCGGUUUGUGUCUCAUUUUUGGAGGAGUCUAUAGGACCCCCUAGACACUCGACUGGACUUUAGCACUGCUUUCCACCCUCAAAGUGAUGAGCAGUCGGAGCGCACUAUUCAGGCUUUAGAGGAUAUGCUCCGAGCAUCUGUGAUAGACUUCCAGGGAGGAUGGUCGCAGCAUCUACCUAUGGCUGAGUUUGCUUAUAACAAUAGUUAUCAAGCAAGUAUCAAGAUGGCGCCGUUUGAAACACUUUAUGGACGGAAGUGUAGAUCGCCACUUCAUUGGAGUGAAGUUGGCGAGAGAUUGGCUUUAGGCCCUGAUGUGCUCCAGGAAGCAGAGGACAAAGUUCGAAUUGCUCGGGAGCGACUUUUGACGGCACAGAGUAGACAGAGGAGCUACGCCGAUCGACGACGGCGAGACUUGGAGUUCCAAAUUGGAGACCAUAUUUUCUUGAAGGUCUCACGACUAGAGGGAUCAAGAGAUUUGGAAUUCGGGGUAAGUUGAGCCCCAGGUUUAUUGGACCGUAUGAGAUCUUGGAAUGUGUAGGUCCGGUAGCGUAUCGACUUGCUCUACCACCGAACCUAUCGGGCGUGCACAACGUCUUUCAUGUAUCGGUACUUCAGAAGUACGUCUUCGAUCCGACUCAUGUGUUGGAUGCUACACCUGUGGAGUUGCGGGACGAAUUGAGCUUCGAGGAGCAACCAGUGAGGAUUUUGGCUCACGAGGUGCGAAAACUGCGGAAUCGGGAUAUUCCGUAUGUGAAGGUUCUUUGGAGCAACCACGGGGAGCGGAAGGCCACGUAGGAGCUAGAGAGUGCGCUGCGGGAGUGCUAUCCCUAUCUUUUUCAGAUGGAGCUUUGAGGUAUGUGUUUGCUUUUGAGUUUCGCGGGCGAAACUCCUUCUUAGGAGGGAUGAAUGUAGCACACUGGACCUGUGCAAAUUGCGAGGUUUGAGUGUUUGAUAUGGAUUCCGAACUUUUCCACACUUGGUGGAAGGUCGUAGAUGGUAUUCCGGCCUAAAAGUUCGAUUUCUGAAAUUUUGGCUAAGUCCUGGAGUUUUCACUCUCGGGGACCGGUCCCUGGUAGGAGAGACCGGUUCCAUAGGAAUAGUGUCGUGGCCAGCUUGAGGCAACCCGUCCCUGGCUGGGAGAGACCGGUUCCCGAACGCGUGUUUUGCGGGAAGGUCCGAGAGACCGGUCCCUGGAGAGGAGAGACCGGUUCCCGAGUGUUGGUUUUGCAGGGCAGGCCGAGAGACCGGUCACAGGUGUCGGGGAGACCAGUCCCUCAGCACGAAAACUACCCAGACCGGGCAGUGCACAGGUUGCAUUUUUGAGGGACCUAGGUGGAUUUUGUUACAUUUGAAGGCUUAUAGAGCCUUUCCUCUCCCUUUCACCCACAUUUCUCUCCCUCACACUCACUCUAGAGAGAGAAAGAGAAGGAGAAGAAGGAGAAGGAGAAGAAGAAGAAGAAGAAGAAGAAGAAGUUGGAGGAGAGUAAGAUUUUGAGGCUUGGAGCAUCUUCCUCUCCCUUUGCUCACCAUUGGAGACUUGGAGCUUGAGCUAGGAGCUUGAUAGAGGAUCAAUCUUCAACCCUAGAGCAUUUUGAGCUUGGUUUGGAGCUAUCUAGAAGGUUAGUUGCUUGUUUCUCCCCUCUAGACUUAUUUUUGGUGGAUUUUGAAAGAUGAAACCCUAGAUUUGGAUUUUAGGGUUUAUUUUGGGGCUUUUUGUUUGGUGGCUUUUGGGGCUAAUCUAAUGAGAUUAGAAGUUUGGAUCAAGUUGUUUUGGAUGGGAUUUGGCAUUCAUUUGAGCUUUAUUUGAGGAUUUCUUCACCGGGGUGAGUUUUUCUCCACCUUAGCUUGAGGUAGUUAAUGAUUGAGUUUAGGGUUAAUCGUAAGGUUCGUUUAACCCUUCUUCCUACAUCUUUAGGGUGCUAGGAGGCUAGUGGGCACCUUCGUCGGAGCUUACGAAGGAUUUCGGUAUCUACGGUGGAUUUGACUUCAUGAAAACGGGGCAAAAUGGCCCCUAUGCAUUACAUACUCAUCGUAAAGUCUUUUUGAAUGCAAAUCCAUGCUAGAUAGGAUUUAUGAGAAUUUUAGAACACUUAAAAUGCAUGUGCUAUGUGUAAGAUAAAUUCCACUCUAUAUAGUAGAGCAAUCAGGGUUAUUUUCAUGCAUGUGAGAAGUGUUCAAGAUAACAAAUGGGAUUCAUGUCUCGUAUGCUAUAUUAACUCAUAUUUGUUUAAUUGUAAACACUACACUAUGAUUGGACUUAGUGGAACAAAGUGUCAUAAAGGGGCACUUGACAUAGAAAACUAUGAAAUUGCAACAUAAAGACAUAGUGAUAGGCCAUUGGACAUAUACUAUAUUCCAUGUUUUAGACAUGAUGAUAUAGUGAUAGGCCUUUGUGACAUUCGCACAUGCUUGUGAGGGUCGCUCCCUACAAGCCGGCACUCCAGAGUUAGCCAUCGCGAUACAUAUUCGCCGUGCGGGAUUGGGCGCCGAAGUGGAUUGCCGUGGGAAUGGCUCAUUUCUAGAGUGAGGAUGUUGACUACCACGGGGCCAUUAGGCAUGGCACCGGCCAGACAGCCUACGUGUGGGUCUUACAGGCCAGAUAGCCUUCGGGUGGGUCUUCAUGUCAGACAGCCUUCGGGUGGGUCUUAUAAGAUUAAACUUUUAACAGUUAAAGUGACAAGUAGACAUUGAUUAGAAUAGUAAAUAAUGACAUCUUUACUAUUUGCAUCGAAGACAUCGUGUUGGUUGCAUACACAUGCUUAUACAUGUUAAUCACACUCAUGUACAUACUUAUUGUAGUUGCUUUAUUACUUAUGCAGUUCAUUCUAAAUAGAGAUAUCAUGGUAGAACAGUACUCAUGGUUACAUACCUGUUCCUUAUUUCGCUUUCGUUUAUACUUAUACUGACCCUCUUUUAUAGCUUUUGGGCCUAGUGGCGCAUUUCACUGAAGUCAGUAAUUGCCCACUGGGAACUAUUAUUUAAUCGUUCUCACGCCCUCUGUUUUAUGAUUUUAUUUCAGAGCCUUCGGCAUCGGCGGAGGUACGGGAUCUCGGCAAGGGAGUCGCGUAGCUAGAUAGCAGAGCUUGCUGUUGCUUCUAGGUGGUCACUCUCUUCCUUUUGUUUUUGUGAGAGAGAGAGUUUUGUACCAUGUAUAGAGACCACCAGUAUAGCUUGUUUAGCAUUUGUAUUUGGGAUUCUUAUUGUAUUACUUUAUGUUUCUUCUAGUGGAUUUUAGUUUAUGGCUCUUUUCCUCUAUUGUAGCAUCUAGAUAUACUUGCUCUGAUAUUCCUAAAUGUUCUCUUUUAUUGUCUUAUUUAUCGCUUUGUUUUAGACGCCUUGUAUGUUUUAGACAUAUGGCGGGUCUGGCCACGCGCCGGGCAGGCUUCCGCUGGAUCCCGGGGCGUGACAUGUGGCAUAUUGCAUGAGAACCUAGUGUAGUUGACACUUGGCAUUGAACAUAGGGAUUAGUUAAGUUCCCUAGUGUGGCAUAUUGCAUGAGAACCUAGUGUAUUGACACUUGGCAUUGAACAUAGGGAUUAGUUGAGUUCCCUAGUGUGGCAUAUUGCAUGAGAACCUAGUGUGGUUGGCACUUUUGAUAUUGAGCAAAGGAGAUAGGUGUAUUUUCCUAGCGGUGGCAUAUUGCAUGAGAAUUGAGUGUAGUUGACACUACGGCAUCAAACAUAGGGAUAGGUGAAUUCCCCAUUUGCGAUUUGGGUAGAGAACCUAAAGUGUGAUGUUGUUAACCCUAGAUGAUAGGGUGUUCCCAGUUGAUGACACUAUCCUUAGUUGAUAAGAUGUUCCUAGUUUAUGAGGAUUGGAUCGAUCUUACAUAGCCUGUCUGCACCUGUGGUGGUCGUUCCACACAGGUAGUGCACUCCGGAGUUUGUCACCCGAGGAAGGCUAAAGUAUUUGCCCUCGGACUAUAGUAUCUGUCCGCAGGCGGUCUCGGAGGUAGUUGAGCAGUGGGACUCCUCCCCUAUGAGACUUACACACGUGAGACUGUGCACGAGCCUCGAGUUCGCCGAGAGAUUGGGUAACCUGAUGAGUUACAUUAUUAUGGUGCAUAAUAGCUUGGUACUUAGCCCUAGCCUUAUUGAUGAACCUAGUAGUAUGGUAGUUAGCCUUUACUAUGAGUUACAUCGAUAUUGAGCAUAGUCGCUUGGUAGUUAGAUUAGUGGAUUUGCCUACAUACAGUGAGUGGACAUACUAUUCCUUCACCUAUGAGAUUUGAGCG
rnacentral:lncRNA from 1 species